UACGUAGGUGGCAAGCGUUGUCCGGAAUUAUUGGGCGUAAAGCGCGCGCAGGCGGUCCUUUAAGUCUGAUGUGAAAGCCCACGGCUCAACCGUGGAGAGUCAUUGGAAACUGGGGGACUUGAGUGCAGAAGAGGAAAGCGGAAUUCCACGUGUAGCGGUGAAAUGCGUAGAGAUGUGGAGGAACACCAGUGGCGAAGGCGGGUCUCUGGGCCGAUAUUGACGCUGAGGAGCGAAAGCGUGGGGAGCAAACAGG
rnacentral:rRNA from 1 species